UGAGAAUUUAAGUUCAGCCUGGACUACAGAUGCCCCAGAAUCUGUCUCCUAGGUCUAGGGUAGAGGGAAGAAAGGCAAAGGGGAGGCAACACCAGGAACAAAAGAGAAAAGUGACUGCAGAGAAAGGUUCAGGCCUGAUGCGCUUAGGAACUGGCAGCCCUGCCCCCAUGCUGGGCCUCAGUUUCCCCAUGAGAACAAGAAGCAGUGGACAUUGCCAGGGCCCUCUUCCUUCCUGACAAGUAUGAGGAAAUGGAAGAGCAAGGCUGCUCGGCCACUCAGAGCCUCAGCUCUGCUCUGCAAGGCGAGGCCGUGGUGCCACCUGCCGGGUAUGCAGGGUCUGUGAGGCCAGGCCGGAAGCACCUGGUGUCUCCCACACGAUGCUCGGUCCUUGCACACUCUGCUCUCCUUGAGGCCAGUGUACAGGUGCACGGGUGGAGAUCGGCCAAGGCAGGUGCGUGCACAGCUUCUCUCACUGGAGAGCAGGAAGAAGGCUGCUGAGGAGGUGGCACUUUACGUAUCUUCCUGAAGACAGCCGAGGAGGCCGCCCCGAGGAUCCUGCAGAACUGAGCUGCCGGAACCAGCCCACACGGCUCCCAGGACUCACCUGCGUCUCAGCUGUCAGAGGAGGAAGUGGGAGCCAAAGAAGGAGCAUGUGCCAAAAUAAUGAUAAGGAGUCGAAUACAGCAGCCACGGUGGCAAAUGCCUCUAAUCUCCCCGGUUCCGGAAGCUGAGGCAGGAGGAUCCAAGUUCCAACUUAGCAAGACCCUAUCUCAAGAAAUUGAGUGACCUGACCUGGAGUCCCUUCCCACCACACUGCUGCAGGAUGCCACCAGGGGGCCCCCUGCACCGGAGUUCCUGAGACUCGCAGUGCACAGUGUAAAUGACUCCUGGUUACAGACCUUGUUCUUGUUGUUGUUGUUAUUUAGACAGGGUCUCACUAUGCAGCCCCGGCUGGCCUUGAACUCCCUAUGUACCCCAGCUGACCUUGAAUUUGUGGUAAUCCUUCUGCCUCAGCCUCUUAGAGUGCUAGGAUCACAGGUGUGCACCACCCCCCCCAGCUGAAAGUGGCCCUGUGUCCCCAAGAGUGGAGAUGCCUCACUCAGGGCGGGCUGGUCUUCCCGGCCUCCAGGUCACUCGGGGGGGACUCUGUUUCUCCAUCCUCUGGGAAGGUCAUGCCCGAUUAGGGGAGCCCCCUCUUUGUAGUCUGGCCCUGGGCCCCCUACUUCUCUGAGCCGUGGUCAUUGCUGCCUGGAGUCAGCACCAAGAAGCCAGAGAGGAAAUGCAUGGAGGUUUGAUAUUCAAGCCACCGCCUGUGCAGAUGAGGGGCACAAAGCCUGGUCCCUGCGCUGCCCGAGCCACCACUGCCAGGGCCGGGGCCCCUCCUCUCAUCCACGGCAACUCAGGGACCCCCGAUGCUCUCAGGGUACCACAGCCUGGCCAUUUUUCUGCACAGAGGGACCUCGAGUUGCUGCAGGGAUAAAGGGGUGUGUGCUCAGAGGCCACGGAGUGUCCCCUCUCACCCAGACCACAGUUAGAAACCAAGGAGCUGAGUCACUCCCUUCGCUUGUUCCACUGUAGAGGCCACAGCGCACUAAGGAUUGUCCAGGCAGAAGCGUAGGAGGCUGUGGAGAUCACUGACAGCAGUGAGAUGGCGGGGCAUCUCAGGUUGGAGGUGUCUUGUCAGGCCUGGCCUAAACCAACAGGACAAAGCAAACAGGCUGCGUUCAAGCAACCAACAGCAGCUUCUCUGUAAACAUGACAAAUGAACUCAAAACAAACUGUACAACCCCUCUGACCCCAAAAAGUCCAGCAAUUGUCUACACAACCGAGCAGACGUCCUUGGGCAUUUGAGUCAUAAACAUUUCACCCCAGAUUCCUUAGCCCCGUCAAUACCUUUAUGAGCUUAAACCUUCCCCAGUCAGCUGCUGAUCUCUCUCUCCUC